GCCCGCAUGGCUCAGUGGUUGAGCAUUGACCUAGGAGUCAGGAGGUCACGGUUGGAUUCCCUGUCAGGGCA
rnacentral:tRNA from 1 species